rnacentral:pre_miRNA from 1 species
ACAAUAUUGGUACCGUCGGUCUGCCGAGUAAUAUCACCCGCUCGGUGGGAGAUCUUCUUUUGUUAA